AACAAUUUCACCUGCUCGUCACAAAGCCAUCAUCUCCCCAAUGAGUCCCUUGUUGGAAACUGGAGACACUCAAACUGGUUCUCCUGCAAAUGGUGGAAUGCCAGAUGACUAUUUGGCACUGAGUCUGCUUCAAUCUGAAAAAUCAAAAUCAAGCAGGAGCCCUGCAACUAACAAGGCAGCAUACCCAUCAUUACAACUUUAUCGAAAAGCUAGUUCUGAAGAGAUUAGAGCAAAUGCUCAUACUGUGAUUGACACCAGCUCUCAGGUUUCCACAAUAAAAGCCAACAAAGAUCAUGACACAAAGCAUAACUAUCCAAGUAAAUUGUUUAAAGGUGUAAAGUUGCAAAACAAAAAUGAUCCUUUAGAGUCAAUGCUAAAUGCCAAAAAGCCCACUUUAGGUUUAAAUAGUGAAAGGACUCUUGAAAACAAAUCUGGAAAAGGCCCAAGUGUAAGUUUAACAAAACCAGAAGAACAAGCCAUUAGUGAUGGUACAAAUCUAAUUAAGGAUAGGCUGAAAACUAGAGGAACAGUCAGUGUACAGGAAAGCCCUGUUAAAGAAAAAGAAACCAACAUAAAGGAAGCAGGAGCAAAGCAUCUCUUUUCUGCACGACAGAACAACUACAUUAAAAGUCAGAGAUUUGUAGGUACAGAUGAUGAUAAUGAUCAUGAUGAUGAUAGUUCCAAUGAAGAAAAGGGGCUGAUGCCUAUAAAGGAUAAAAAUGAUAAUGACAAGUGGUCCAGGCAUUCCAAAAAAACAAAACCAAAAGAGAUAAGGCAAGAGGAGCAUAAAGCUGGAAUCCAUAAAAAUAAAGUACUAGUUCAAACAACAGUGGAUGGGCCAGUAUUGAAAGAAAAUGUUCAUGUAAAUGGACAGGCUACCACGGCUAAAGAACAGAGCAGUAUUACAUCAAAGAAUGGUUUGGAAACUCAAAGAGAGCAAAAAGUAAAAGACGAAACUUUCUCAAUGAAAAGAAACACUUCUGCAAAUAAAGCACUAUUUGCAUCAAUGGAAAUGGUGCCAAAUAAGACAACUGCACCUUUAAAGAUAGAGAAUGGUGUCAUAGAUAAGUACGACUUGGCCAAGAUGGCUUUAGGGGAAGUAAUUGCUGAACGAGAGCAAAGAAAGUUGAAAAAUAAGACUCUCUCAAAUGCAGCUGGUUCACUCAUUGACAGAAAAAGAGCUGGUUGUGAAAAACCUCAAGAUGGUCUUGAGUUACCCACCAGUGGAGAGGAUCAACUACCUAGUGCGUUUAUGCCGAAUGAAAGGGGGACAAAUACAAAAGGUGGCAGAGGUCAGAAUACUCUAUCUGCAUUUAAAACUAAUUGGCAGACUAUGCAAAUGAAGUCAGAAGACAUGGCCAAACAUGGUGAAAGUCAUGUGCCUGAGGUAAAAUUAGCCAGGCCCUGCAAGCAGGAAGCAUCUAAUGGGCAGUGCCAGCAUGCAGAUUGUGACAGAUUGUGCCUAGACCAUCAAGAAAGCAACACAAAUAAUAUCAGGAAGGGUGAUACAAUAUGCCAAGAGUUGAUGAAUAAAAAUAUAAGUCAUGCAAAAAAAUGCACAAAAACAGGUGAUAACUUGGAAAAUAGAGAUAUUUGCAGUGUGGGACAGUAUGAGGAAGAGUUGGAUGUUGACCAUAAGGGUAGUUCCUAUAAACCUGAGAUACCCCCAAGAAGAGGGAGAAGUAAUUCUCAGAGUAAUGACAGAGUCGGUGAGAAGACUGAAGGUAAUUUAGACUUUAAAAGAGAAGGUGACACUACAGUCAAAACUGAGGAAACGGAGAGUAGGGAAGUUAGCAAAGUUCAGUCAAGUCAAUCAAAGAAUCGAGGCCCAGUGAGAGGAAAUGUAUCGGCUCUGAAAGAGAAAUAUGACAAGGAAAGUAAGGUGAACCGCAGGGAUGUUCAGAAAGGCCUGCCUGUUGAAGGUGCAUGUUCUGAAAAGUCUAUGGAAGAGGGACCCAAUGAAAAGGCUCCAAAAGACAAAAUGAAACAUACAUUUAUUCCACCAAAACUCACAGUCAGUGAUGAUGAAAGUGGGACUUAUUCCAUUAUCUACACGGAAAUAGAUUCUGGGAGUGAAAUGAUGUCUAACAGCUCUUCAAAAGAAUCAGAAAGAGGUGAGGAACAUUCUAGUUCACAGAGGAAACACAGUGUCACCCAAGACUUCCAAAAGGCUAUACAUGCUCUCACAAACAACAGAAAUGAAGAAAUGCAAGACAAGGUAAAAACGAAUAAGAAGGAAGUGGAUGCGGUAAGUCUGAAGUCUGAGUUGGGAGACAAGCAGAACAAAUCCAAAGAUCCAAAAGUCUAUGUGAAAAACUUCUUAAGUGGAUUUCUUGGACUUUCAAGCUCAGAAAGGGUCAAAACUGUAGAUGAACAUGAGGAGGAACUCUCUGAAACCUCGGAGUCUCUCAAACCUGAUAAAGUUAGAAAGGACAGUAUCACAGUAUAUGAUAUCCUUGGACAGUCUGUGUCCUCAUUAAAUGGCAAACGAACACAUCACAGCAGUCGCUCAUCAAACUUAAGUGAACUCUCUCUAUUACAUGAACCUGAAGAGGGUGUACAACCAGGAGAGUUGUUAAGGAAAGCAGAAGUCUGCAACGUGACAGAAAAAGUAGAUGAAAAGUUGAAGGAGAAUUUCCAGAAACCAUCAAUAGACUCCUGCUCUUUAAGCAACCAUGAAAGUGAGUCAGAUGUCUCUGACAGGGUAGUUUCUCCACCGAGUGAUGUGGACAAAAGGGGAUGGGUGCACAGCUUGAUUGAGUCAGCUAGAAACUUAACACAAAUGUCACACGGUCAUACUUCCUCCAAGGAUCAAGAAGAAAACUGCUUGAAUGGAUCUGAGAAAGAUGAGCAAGAUCUGGACCUCCUCAAGGAUCAUUCUCAAGUUAAGAUGCCUGCUAUAUCAGCCCAGAGCCCCCAACCAAAACAACCAGCAAUGCAGUUCUUGUCCAUUCCGGCAACUCACCUGGUCACAGUCAAAGAUGGAAAGCUGUCAGCUGGAAGUGCAUCGAUGUCUGAGGAGGAGGAGCGACGCUCUGCUGUGAGCACUUUAUCUGAGAGAAUGGACGGCUAUGAAACAAGCAGAGGGGAUAUGAUGGAGGAGAACGUCUCUAGUACUGCCCCAACAGAGGAUGCGGAGGGAUCCAAGGCAACCUCCAAGAGAUCAGCUUCAGCUUGCAGUGGAAGCGACAGUCAGGGUCAGAACAAGCCGCCUGUUGUACCUCCAAAAACCGAAAAGGCUCUACGCCGAGCCAUGAAGCUCACCACACGGAGGAUACAAAAAGAUGAAGCUAAAAGCAAAUCUGAGCAUAAAGGCAGAGGCAGUGACAAAAGUGUCAGUCACAAGGCUGAAAGGAGGCACCACAACACUGACAAAGUACACGACAGAUCAGAACACAGGUCUCUCAGCAGUGACAGAAUCAGCAUUAAAAAAAGUGAACAUCUUGAUAACACAUUUGAGCCCAAAACUCUAAGAAGCGAGAAGCAUGCUAGACGCCAUAAUGGUCACAAGAGCCAAAGCAUGGAAGAGAAUGAUCCUAGUAAAAAAAUCCCUCAUGCAACCAAAGGCAAAGACAGACAAACCAGUCAAACUGGUGACCCAAAGAGUCAUCGCAGUGAGAAACAACUAGAAGGCACAUCACACCACGGGGAUCAUUUGGAGUAUGGCAAUAUAAGUAAUGACAGUGACCGACAGGGCCGAAGCAAUGAGAAAUUCUUGCCCAAGAAACUGGAACAUAGGACUCAAAGUCUGGAUAGAUUUUUAAGGGAUAAACACAAAAACAUGUCGAGUAGCACUGGGAAAACUGGUGGUGAAGUUAAUUCUGAGUUUUCAAUAGAAGGAUCACAGUACUCUACUCCAAAGGCCUUACCUUUGCGCCACAACAGCAUUGAACAUACUUAUGCACCAGCCACUAAUCUAGUAACACAGUCCUUCCCAAUCACCCAGAGGAAGCUUUUACAGGACCUUGACUCUGGACAAUACUUUCUGGUGGAUAUGCCAGUACAGGUCAAAACGAAAACUUUCUUUGACCCGGAAACAAAAAGUUAUGUGCAACUGCCAGUACAGUCUCCUGAGGCUGUUGUGCGACAAGCUCCACCAAUGGAGGUUAUGAACACACCACCGCUUAUGUUGUAUCACGGCUUAGUUCCAGUGUCUGUACCAUCACAGAAAUCUGUUGUCAGGACUGCAGGAUCUAUGAUUCCUCCUGAUGACCUGGAAGACUUUGAGCCUAGCAGGAAACAGAUGCAGGAGGACUUUUAUAAAAUGCAAAAUGAAGUCGUCAGUCCUUACACGGAGCCUGUAUAUAUAACACAGGAACAUACGCCUGAGGAGGAAAUUGAUAGUGUAAGAUGACAACAUCUAGACCAGUGCAUGGUCCAGAGAUUGAAUGUGACUGAAAUCAGGGAUUUGUUUUUCCAAGAGUUUGAAAGAGUUUUCACUGUUUCCAACUUGCAGUUUGGUGUGACAUGGGAAAAUAUUUCUAGUAUGUAUGCUGUUCUUUGUUUAUAGUGCUUAUUUCUUAUUAAAACAAGGCAAUACUCUAGUUCUCUUACUGUUAAAGAGCAGGUCACAUGGUAUUUUAAAGUGUCCUAAUAUUGUGUUGGAGUCCCCUACAACAGGUUUAAAUGCAUCUAAUGUCAGAAAACAUUGUAAUUUUCUCAGAAUAUACAUUUAAUAUUAGAGUCAUUUGCCAAUGAUUUCGAAACGAUUCAUUCCAAGCAAGUUCGGAGCAAACCCCUCCCUUCCAUAAGCCUACUCUGCUCUGAUUGGUCAGCUGGCCAAGCCUGUUGUGAUUGGCACAGAGAGAAGUUCAUGAGCAAGUUAGCGAGCGCUACAUUGACAAAGCACCUUUACAUAAAACAAUAAUAUGGUGCUCCAAUCCGUUCUUAUAAUAAUGACAUAAAAUACAAAAACACUUAUGCAAGCGAAUCGUGCCCACAGAUAAAGUUUAGCUGCUAAACUGAACACUUAAAACAAUAAUGGUGGAUACGUUAGCCGAGUGCUAACGUGACUAACAGAUGAAACGAUACAGUUUGUAAACCAAAAUAUGUCUACUGCAAUGUUUGAAGAACGACAGACAAAAGACGCUCUGUCUUAACUUUUAAUCAGAACAGCUGUAUCACAGGCGCA
rnacentral:lncRNA from 1 species